CACGUAGGCACCAAGCGUUGUCCGGAUUUAUUGGGCGUAAAGAGCUCGUAGGCGGUUCGGUAAGUCGGGUGUGAAAACUCUGGGCUCAACCCAGAGCCGCCACCCGAUACUGCUGUGACUUGAGUUCGGUAGGGGAGCGGGGGAAUUCCUGGUGUAGCGGUGAAAUGCGCAGAUAUCAGGAGGAACACCAAUUGCGAAGGCAGCUCGCUGGGACGUUACUGACGCUGAGACGCGAAAGCGUGGGGAGCAAACAGG
rnacentral:rRNA from 1 species